GAAAACUUUGGACACCUUAAUAUAUUGGGCUUUGUUUUCUCUGGUCCAUCAAGGGAUUCCCUUCUUCUUGUGCUGAUUGAAGACCCUCGGCUUCCUCGGCUAAGUAACGUUCCGGAGUCAAUCACUAAAGAAAACCUAAUAAUCCCACGAUUUCCUCUUCACUGCAACUUUUGGAUUCUCUCAGUUUCAAACUCUAUAUAUCAUUUUGUUCUCUAGCUUUUCCUCUUUACCAAAAUUAUCAAAAUCAAAGAAUCUUGGCGAUCUUCUACACUCCAAGCUGUGAGAUUUCUUUACAAACAGUGGUCGCAAAGUUGAUUUUGUACAGAUGGAAUUGCUUAUGAUUCCUUGAGUGAUGAGACACCCACGUCAAGUUUUUAAACUUGAGCACUGAAACUUCACAUGAAGCAAAAUACGCUGGUGCACAGGAGCCUCUGCAUAUUCGUAACAUUGUUCAUGGCCUUCCCUCACCCACUUCCUCCUUUUUCAGUAUAUGUAAGUAAACAAUGCUCAGGGUCUGCAAUGAUUUGUUAUGGCUUUUAAGUCAAUCGUCAUAUUUGUCUUUAAUUCUCAUUGUUGUUCAGCAUCACUAUACUUACAGAUAUCCGCAAUACAGCCGUUUCUGCUAUUUAACAAUUCCAGAUUCUAUUAUUUUGCUUCUAAACAGUGUGUUUCCUAAUGGAUUCAAACAUUCUGUUAAAAAACAAGACAUUUUCUCUAAAUCAAUUAAUCAAUUCAUUGUCUUGCAACAUCUUUUAUUACUAUUUACAAAACGUUCUCUUUGGGUUAUUGUUUUCCUGCUUCUUCCAUUGUACCACUGCUACUCUGACCAGUUUUGUGUGGAUGUUCCAUCCAUAUAUCUAAUAUAUUUGUCUCCAUAUGAUGAUCUGAUAAUGGCACCGAAGAAGGAAAAAGUCCCACUACCAUCGUCUGUAUAUGUUUUUUUUUAUAGAUUUUAAAAGCUGAUUCAAUGGGUUUGGAUAGUUAUCAUUAUCUUUAUUAUCGGUUACUGGUUCUCUUCGAUGGGUUUGAAUAUCAAGUAUCAGUUAUCAGUAAUCUUUUGUAAAAGCCUAACGUUUUCAACUUUUUCCUUGCUAAGCUCUUUAUGGUGUGCUUAAUUUUUUCAAAAAAAAAAACUUUGUAUUAGUAUAAGUGGAUGGGUUUCUGUAACAAAUUAGUAUCUUUGCAUCAUUCUAGCUUGUGACCAAAUGAUAUUACUUUCAAAUCAUUGGCACACAGAUGUUGUACUAGGAAAUUAAGAAACCUUUGGUCUCAUGCGUUUUCAUUCAAAAGAAGACUACAAUGAGCUACUCUAUUGUCUCGUGGGCGUGUACGGCAUGGUCAAACGGCUCAAAGUUCUCAUGGUAUGGACAUUGCUACUCUUUAUCUGUUUGGAUGUGACAUGGUGUUGGAUUGGGUGGAGGGUGUCGUUCCACGUCUGAAGCAGAGAGGUAUCAAGGGAGGAAGAGGAAGCAAGAGAACAAAGGGAAAUGGAGUAUAGACCUCCUAAGCAAGCAAUUUCAAGCAAGGUGUAUGAUUUGGACCUGAAUGGGUUCACAGAGUCGCAACUACGGUAUGAAAUCGUAACUGUUUGAGAUACUAGAUAUGUGGAUCCUACCUUCAUAUGAUUCGAAGUUUCUGUAGGUAAAUACUAUAUAACUGUUUCUCUAUCAUAUAUAUCGGCACUUAAGUCAUCUGAUUUGCAGUUUAAUUAUGGCUGCACAAGACCAAGAACCAUGUAGCUUCUGAGAAGAAGCGGCUUGGGUUUGCUUGAACCUGAGAAGAAGAGGGCACAUGCUUUUUUCUAGCAAGUACGCCACGUUGCCAACUCUGUUUCUAAUCAGCGUGAGAUGGAUAUAAGUAAAAUGAGGGACAAACUUGAAGACAAAUUGCUAAGGGAAAGAGACAUAGAUCGGACUUUCUUUGUCAGAGAAGAAGACAGCUUGAUUCGAUUAGUCUCUACUGCGAUAUGAUGCAGCAAGAUGGUAGUUUUUAUAAAUCACUACCAGUUAUAUGUUUCUUUAGUAAUCUCCCUUGCAGCUUUUGUUCUUGUGUUGUUUGUUAGGUGUUGGAAGUGCUUUGUGAUUUAAUAAAGUCAGCCUGAUACUCUUAAAGCUGUUAACUCUUUGCUUGACCGCCUUCAAGUUCGCUUAGAAGCUUCUAAAACGUUACCGCUUCUUCUCAACCGUCGAUAAUGGAUAACAUUCAUCAUCUUCUUAGAAGAGUUGCCACCCCAAGAAAAAAGAAGACGCCAACUACUCUAAAGAACAGGAAAGGAAAGAGAGUUACUCCUGGUAGGAGGGUGGCCGUGACAUCUGAGGUUUCCUAUCAGAGUGGUCCUUUCUGCUUUUAUGAUACUCGGUCAUCCAGACGCUGUGUUUAACAGUCAAGUUGAUCAAGAGGCUGCUCUUAAUGACUCAGUGAAGGGUUUUUUGAGGGAGUUUAAGUUAUUGAUAAAGGUUAUUAAAGAGGGACAGGGUCAUGUUAGGAUGUCUGUUGAGGAAUCAAAGCUUCAGACGUUGAGAUCUCAGUUGGACUUAUUUGAUAAGGCAUGGUGCGCAUUUUUGAAUUCGUUUGUGCUUUGGAAAGUUAAGGAUGCUCGGUUGUUGGGAGAGGAUAAGGUAAGAGCAGCUUGUCAGCUUCAAAUUUCCAUGAUUCAGAAAUGCAAGAUUACUCCAGAAAGAGAUGACACUGUGCUCACUUAUGACAAGAAAGCAAUUCAGACCCGAAAUACGGAAGGCAUUACUAAGCUUCCUAGAAGGAUACACUAAUUUUUCAUUAUUGUAAUAGAUUAUUGCCACUGCUCUCCUACUCUGCUCCCUUCGUAAUAUAUCAUCAAUAAUCCAUAGCUAGCCAUAUUUACUUUAA